rnacentral:rRNA from 1 species
GAGGAGGAGGACGUCGGGGUGGCGGUAGAGAAGGAGUCGUCGGACCCCCGGGCCGACUUCCGUGACAGCAUGGUGCAGAUGGUGGUGGAGAUGGGGCUCUGCGACUGGGACGGCCUCCGCUGCAUGCUUCGCCGCCUGCUCGCCCUCAACGCGCCGCGCCACCACGCCGCCAUCCUCGCUGCCUUCGCCGAGGUCUGCGCCCAGCUCGCCUCGGAGCCUCCCCCGCCGCCGCCUCCGGCGUAUCAAUACGACUACUACUACUGA